rnacentral:rRNA from 1 species
CGAUGAAGCCCAGCUUGCUGGGUGGAUUAGUGGCGAACGGGUGAGUAACACGUGGGUGAUCUGCCCUGCACUCUGGGAUAAGCCUGGGAAACUGGGUCUAAUACCGGAUAUGACCUCUUGCUGCAUGGCGAGGGGUGGAAAGUUUUUCGGUGCAGGAUGAGCCCGCGGCCUAUCAGCUUGUUGGUGGGGUAAUGGCCUACCAAGGCGACGACGGGUAGCCGGCCUGAGAGGGCGACCGGCCACACUGGGACUGAGACACGGCCCAGACUCCUACGGGAGGCAGCAGUGGGGAAUAUUGCACAAUGGGCGAAAGCCUGAUGCAGCGACGCCGCGUGAGGGAUGACGGCCUUCGGGUUGUAAACCUCUUUCAGCAGGGACGAAGCGAAAGUGACGGUACCUGCAGAAGAAGCACCGGCCAACUACGUGCCAGCAGCCGCGGUAAUACGUAGGGUGCGAGCGUUGUCCGGAAUUACUGGGCGUAAAGAGCUCGUAGGCGGUUUGUCGCGUCGUCUGUGAAAUCCCGCAGCUCAACUGCGGGCUUGCAGGCGAUACGGGCAGACUCGAGUACUGCAGGGGAGACUGGAAUUCCUGGUGUAGCGGUGAAAUGCGCAGAUAUCAGGAGGAACACCGGUGGCGAAGGCGGGUCUCUGGGCAGUAACUGACGCUGAGGAGCGAAAGCGUGGGUAGCGAACAGGAUUAGAUACCCUGGUAGUCCACGCCGUAAACGGUGGGCGCUAGGUGUGGGUUUCCUUCCACGGGAUCCGUGCCGUAGCCAACGCAUUAAGCGCCCCGCCUGGGGAGUACGGCCGCAAGGCUAAAACUCAAAGGAA